CGUCAGGGUGGGAGGAAGUCCUGAAUACAGUGCAGCAACUGUCCUGGGAACGCGUCCUUGGUCCUGCCAUGCUGGCUGGAUCCCGGGGCUAAAGGGGAAGUGCUGAUGCAGUCAACAGCAGACUGUUCUGGAGCACUAGCACGUUGCCCUGAGAGUCCUCUAGGGUCAAACACUGCUCAGAACAAAGCACAGGGUGGUGGGGGUUUUUUUGUUUUUGUUUUUUUUUUUUUUACGUACCUGCCUCUCAGGACUUACCUGGAAGUUCAGGGGCUUGCCAACUGGCAGACUGUUUCCUGUUGGGUUCAGGGCACAAUGGAACAGUGAUAUGUGAGACUGCAAGGCUCCUGCGGAAGGCUCCCGUAAGAGAGAGGCAGAGCAAACUCGGGGUUUUUCACGGAGAUGUAAGUAGGCUCUGUGCAGCAGUCCCAGAAGACGGUCCCAAGAAGACUUUCAGGUCCCUCCAGGAUAGGACUGAUGUCAUCUCCAUCACUUUGAGAGCCCCAGGCUCCUCAUCCAAUAAGCAUUUCUUGAGUGCCCGUUAUGAGACAGGAGGUCUCCCUGGUACAUGGCGCCCUUCCAUCUAGAGAUGGCA